GACGAACGCUGGCGGCGUGCUUAACACAUGCAAGUUGAACGAGAAUUUUUCGAGUGAUUUCUUCGGAAUGAUCAUGAACAAGGAAAGUAGCGAACGGGUGAGUAACACGUGAGAAACCUGCCUUUCACAAAGGGAUAGCCUCGGGAAACCGGGAUUAAUACCUUAUGAAACCAAACACUCGCAUGAGAGAUUGGUUAAAGAUUUAUCGGUGUUAGAUGGUCUCGCGCCUGAUUAGCUAGUUGGUGGGAUAAAAGCCUACCAAGGCAACGAUCAGUAGCCGGGUUGGGAGGUUGACCGGCCACACUGGAGCUGAGACACGGUCCAGACUCCUACGGGAGGCAGCAGUGGGGAAUUUUGCACAAUGGAGGAAGCUCUGAUGCAGCGACGCCGCGUGAGUGAUGAAGGUCUUCGGAUUGUAAAACUCUGUCCUUAGUGAAGAUAAUGACAGUAACUAAGAAGCAAGCCCUGGCUAAAUACGUG
rnacentral:rRNA from 1 species